rnacentral:rRNA from 1 species
AUUGCCCCAGUAACGGCGAGUGAAGCGGCAACAGCUCAAAUUUGAAAUCUGGCUCUCGGGCCCGAGUUGUAAUUUGUAGAGGAUGCUUUUGGUGAGGUGCCUUCCGAGUUCCCUGGAACGGGACGCCAUAGAGGGUGAGAGCCCCGUCUGGUUGGACACCGAUCCUCUGUAAAGCUCCUUCGACGAGUCGAGUAGUUUGGGAAUGCUGCUCUAAAUGGGAGGUAUAUGUCUUCUAAAGCUAAAUACCGGCCAGAGACCGAUAGCGCACAAGUAGAGUGAUCGAAAGAUGAAAAGAACUUUGAAAAGAGAGUUAAACAGUACGUGAAAUUGUUGAAAGGGAAGCGCUUGUGACCAGACUUGGGCUUGGUUGAUCAUCCGGGGUUCUCCCCGGUGCACUCUUCCGGCUCAGGCCAGCAUCAGUUCGCCCUGGGGGAUAAAGGCUUCGGGAAUGUGGCUCUCUCCGGGGAGUGUUA